rnacentral:ncRNA from 1 species
UAAUAAGCAAUGACCGAAAGAGUAGUGAGUCGUGUAGUGCCUAGCGAGGGCCGGUUGGUGAAAGGGCCUGACUGCUGACUGACGAAUGUAGCUCGGGAGCUGAUUGGCUGAACCUUUAUUAGGCUGAUCCGGUUCAUCACCGUUACCAAAUGAAUGAGGGGAGUCAUGAUUUGACUCAAUUUAGGUGGUAACGCGAGCAAUCGUCCUAUCA